rnacentral:lncRNA from 1 species
AAAAAAAAAAAGAGUUUGGACUUUUGGGUUUGGCCCGUAAAGGCGGCAGCAGAGAACAGGUCUCUCUCUGUUUGUCUCCAUCAUCAAUUAAUAUUAUAUACUCCAUCCAGACCAAGGAAACCAAAAACCAAAGAAGCUGCCUAUAGUUUAUUGUCUUCUACAAUCAACAACUACACAGAAGAAGAAACCAAAGAAGAAGACCAAAGCAAGAAGAAGAAGAAGCUAUGAGCUGCUGUUGCGGAGAUGAUUGCGAAUGCAGGCCUUUGGGGUUUUUAAUUGGCCUGCCCUUUGCCUUCAUCUCUCUUCUCCUCUCCGUUGUGGGUGUGUUCAUCUGGAUUGUCGGGUUAGUUUCACUCUCUCUCUUCCUUUUCAUCAGAAUUUCAAGGACUUUUCUUCAUGUCAAGAUAGUGAAAUUCUUUAUAUGGUGGUGCUACCACUAAUUAAAUUGAUUUUUUUUUUGUGGGUGUGUGUGAUGAUUGCAGGUUGGCGUUGACGUGCAUAUGUCCAUGCUGCUUGUGCGUGACGAUCGUAGUUGAGCUUGCACUGGGGUUGAUCAAGGCUCCCUUUUCGGUCAUGAAGUGGUUCACAUCUAAGAUUCCUUGUUAGAUUUCACUAUUUGAUAGUAUUUUUUGUUCAUUGGUUGUUGACCUUCAAAAGGCAUGGGGUCCUUUUGUUCCCCAGCCCAUCCUUGUUCAUUCAUAGUUUCUUUCGAUCUUUC